rnacentral:rRNA from 1 species
CCUACGGGAGGCAGCAGUAGGGAAUAUUGCUCAAUGGGGGAAACCCUGAAGCAGCAACGCCGCGUGGAGGAUGAAGGUUUUAGGAUUGUAAAACCCUUUUGUUAGAGAAGAUUAUGACGGUAUCUAACGAAUAAGCACCGGCUCACUCCGUGCCAGCAGCCGCGGUAAUACGGCGGGUGCAAGCGUUACUCGGAAUCACUGGGCGUAAAGAGUGCGUAGGCGGGGUAAUAAGUCAGAUGUGAAAUCCUGUAGCUUAACUACAGAACUGCAUUUGAAACUGUUACUCUGGAGUGUGGGAGAGGUAGGUGGAAUUCGUGGUGUAGGGGUAAAAUGCGUAGAGAUCAAGAGGAAUACUCAUUGCGAAGGCGACCUGCUGGAACAUUACUGACGCUGAUGCACGAAAGCGUGGGGAGCAAACAGGAUUAGAUACCCCUGUAGUC